AGAGUUUGAUCAUGGCUCAGGAUGAACGCUAGCGGCAGGCUUAAUACAUGCAAGUCAAACGGGGCUAAUAGCAAUAUUAGUUCAGUGGCGCACGGGUGAGUAACGCGUACACAACCUACCUUACAGCGGGGGAUAGCAUCUGGAAACGGGUGGUAAUACCGCAUAGUUUCGUGAUUCGGCAUCGGAUUUCGAAUAAAGUUAAGGCGCUGUGAGAUGGGUGUGCGUCUGAUUAGGUAGUUGGUAGGGUAACGGCCUACCAAGCCGACGAUCAGUAGGGGGCGUGAGAGCGUGGUCCCCCCACGGGUACUGAGACACGGACCCGACUCCUACGGGAGGCAGCAGUAAGGAAUAUUGGACAAUGGCCGCAAGGCUGAUCCAGCCAUCCAGCGUGCAGGAAGAAGGCCCUAUGGGUUGUAAACUGCUUUUGUCAGGGAAGAAACCUCUGGAUUUACUCCGGAACUGACGGUACCUGAAGAAUAAGCACCGGCUAACUCCGUGCCAGCCGCCGCGGUAAUAC
rnacentral:rRNA from 1 species